rnacentral:other from 2 species
UGGACCCGAACUCGUUCGACAGCCGCUCUAUUUGUGAACCAACGCAAUUGGCUAGGGGAUGGCGUUUCAGGGUGCCGCGUGCGGCGGCCCUGAGAAAUCCCCACCUGUCCUCACAGGUUCUACAGCCGAGCGACACCGGCAAGUUGGGGUCCUU